rnacentral:tRNA from 1 species
ACAUUGUUAGUAUAAAAAUUAUUAUACUAUUUUUCCAAAGUAGUGAUCUAGUGUUAGACAAUGUA